CAUGUAGCGGCCUUAUAAGCCUGGCGUGAAAGUCACCGGCUCAACCGGUGGAUUGCGCUGGGAACUGUAGGGCUUGAAUCAUGGAGAGGGAGCUAGAAUUCCUGGUGUAGGGGUGAAAUCUGUAGAGAUCAGGAAGAAUACCAGUGGCGAAGGCGAGCUCCUGGCCAAUGAUUGACGCUGAGGUGCGAAAGUGUGGGGAUCAAACAGGAUUAGAUACCCUGGUAGUCCACACUGUAAACGAUGUGCACUAGGUGCUGGGGCGGAUGCUUCAGUGCCGGAGCUAACGCGGUAAGUGCACCGCCUGGGGAGUAUGCUCGCAAGGGUGAA
rnacentral:rRNA from 1 species